GGUGCUGGCUGGGGGGAACACAAGUGGGAAAAGGAGGAAAAAACCAAAUUUGACAGUUUUCUCAGAGUUUAUCAGGUGGCUGAAGCAGCGGCAGCCUCUUGCUAGCCCUCUGCCCCCAACCAUGUAAGGGGAAGAGGCCUGCCAGCCUCCUUGCCACCUCAGCUGUACCAUGGCCGCUGUUGUUGCUGGAUUGUGUGGUUUUGCCCAGGUUUCUCCGGCGACCAGCAAACUGUGGCUGAAACAGCAAGAGAAAAACAACAACAAAACACUGGCAAUCUCUUGCAUUUGUUUGCCACCAAACAGAAGAGUGAUAACUCAGGUUGGCCAGGGGAUGAUUAAGGAUGGAGACUGACUAGCUUUUAACUUGGUACAGCCCAGAGGUGCUGCCAUAAAACGAACUGGAUUGCAGAAUUUAUCUGUCUAAGAAACAAUGCUUUCUGCCAUACCAUUGUUUUUCAGGUGGGUCACUGUUUUGACCCAGCUCUUUGCACCAGUGCUGGGGCUGGCAGGGCUGGGGAGGCAGCGCAGCAGGGGGGAGCAGCAGGGAUGGGCAGGAGCUGCUGAUUUUCUGUAGCAGUUCUGCUUCACACCAUCACUGCUGGGGCUUAGGCUGGCAAGAAUUACACCAGCCUGGCAUAAAGGGUCUCCAGCCUCUGUAUGCACAGGAUUCCUUUGCGAUUUGAUUGACUGAUGCAUUUGGCUUGAUCUGUUUGGCAGUGAAACAGCUAACAGUGCUGCCAUGUACAUUUGUAUUCUUUUUGGAGUGACAUGUUUUUGCAUCGUACUGGAAAGACUUCAUGUCCUGUGUCAGUCUGCUCAAGGCAGCCCUCACAAAUGAGCAGAAUAAAUCCAGAAACACCACCUGCUCUGCACCUGAACUGUCUCUGGUGCAUGUGAACGUGAGCCUCCCACUGCCUGACAGUGCAGCAUGAGCGAGUUAUCUGCCUUUCUGCUUCCCUAGUCACAUCCUGGGCUCUGCACCAAAAGGGUUUGAAAGCCUGCUCAGGAUGGGUCCAAGUCCUUUGCCUCCUGUCCAGAGCAGAUGUGCAGGGAGGUGCUGGUGCGACGGCCCCUGUGCUGCACCGCUGUGAGCGCCAAGGAGACAGGCAGCUCUGCUGAAGAUGGGUCUAGUUGUUUCUCUCUGUGGUGCACAACUUCUCUCACUCAGCAAUGUUUCAUUGAAGACAGAAGGGACUGGGUAUCAUGAGGGAGAGCUGGAUUAGGGAUUGGGAACUUCGACUUCAAAACGUGGUAGGUUUUUUUUGAGGGAGAGUGGUAUCUUGAGAGUUCAGAAUAAGCAGUCUGUGGUGAAAAGAAAGAGAGGCUGAGGAUGGUGCUGGGCAGAUAGACGUUGUGAUCAGGUAGCUAUGGACAGGGACCAAAACCUAGAAGAAUGCUGGCUGUGCUUGUGCUGCUUGUUAUUCAUUUUUUCAUUACUGGUUAAAAGUCAGCGAUGUAAAUCUGGGUAGGACUCGGCAUUCCCCAUCUGAAGCACAUACGUUAGCAGAGAAGCACCUCUGUAAGCAUUGCUUCAGCACUGGUUCUGCAAAAAGGUUGCAGGAACUCAUUAUUCAUGAUUUUUAUCUUGCUACCUGAAAUACAUAAAUAGCCUAAAGGUUCCUCUGAUGGACUUCUUCCAGCUCUUUGAUGUGCCAAAGAUAAUUUCUUUACAUGCUCCUUCAACCUGUCACCACUCCCUACCUAAGGUUUAAUGUUUCUACAUGUCAUGUUUACCUGUCUGUACUAGACUGUAAGCUCUCCAAGGCAGCGACCUUGCCAUCUUUCAUGCUGAAGUACCUUGAAGGAAUUGUAACAUCAACAGCUAUAAAAUGUGAUAUAGAUUAUCAAAGCAACGUCAACCAACACAGCUCAGCUCUUUGGCCUAUCGCAUGCCAAGCGAGCUUUCCACAGGGCUGCCGGCUUCUCCUGACACUGGCUUGGCGUGAUCUGUGCCCCAAAGGGCAGCCGCUGUCGUGAGAGCACGUGGGGACAUGCAAGUGAGUCCCGUGGCUGUUAUGACGAGUGGGGUGAUGCAGCUCCUGCCUGCCUGCAGCUGGGCUCCCUAUGAGGUACCAGCAGCGGCAAGGCUUUUGGAAAGCCUCCGCCCGACAGAACUCACAUUGCCAGCAGCAGGACCCUGUGCCCCUGUUUGUUUAAAAACUCAGGACUAUACCCCGGAACUUUUAAUAACUCAAGAGCCCCAGGGUGCUCUGAAUUUAAGUCCCCUCAUGUAAAACCGUAACAGUGGAAGCAAACAGAUGCAUCCCCAGACACAGCCCUGUCUAUGGGAGCUAAUGCAGGAAAUGUGUGCUCCCCUGCUCCAGCUCACGCAUGGCUCCAGCACAUCCCUGGGGCUGGAGCCACCAUUCCUCGGCAUUUCUGGGUGCAGGCCACUCAGACCCAGAGUUCAGAGUGUGCUUGCAGCCAGGUCUCUUUUUUGCCUUCCCUUCUUUGGAGCUGGUUUCUUUGUGCAGCCUGGGAUGUGUCAGGGAGAGACCUUGUUUUUGUAACCUCUUGUUAAGGCUGGAGGUGAUACCUCUGCGGUGAGUGCUGGGGAGCAGACUUUGAUCUGCUGCAUUGAUUCCUCCGCUGGGAAUUCAGGCCUCUGAGUCUCACUUGCCCUGGGCAAAAGUCAAGAGGAUUUCCCCUAAGUAAAGACCCAUCAAACCUUAUCAGCUGUCUUGCUGUUCCUGUGUCACCACCCCUUGAAGACAGCAUCUGCCACGGAGAGGUCAGGCAGAGAAAUCUCCAGGCAAAAGCCCAGUGCAGAAGGGGGGUGACAGUUCCUGGGGACAGCCCAGCCCCAUGGCACCCCCAGCAGCUCUGGGACUAUCAGCCAUCAUGCCAUGCGUCUGAGCCCCAGUUGACCUCCCACUGUAGCCUCUACUGUCAUCCCUUUAAUUUUGCAGUAUGUAUGGGCAGGAUGCCACCAGCAGGGUUGGACCAGCAUCAGGCGGAUCCCAUACACCCAGGAAAAAACCCAUGCAGAGCCCACCAAGCCCUGGCCAUCAAGCAAGGAGGCAAGCUGGGCUGAGGCUAUGAGCAGGCAGGUGUUUGAUCCUUCACAUGGUUCCCAGCACCCAAGGGCAGUGACCAGAGGUUUUUGGGCUCUGCAGAACAACAUGCAAAGCCAGGAGGGGUGUAGGGAGGGGGACUGACGCUUUGUGUGUGGGCUGGAGGCUGGGGAGGCUGGCAAGCUAGCAGUCUGCCCACAGGUUUGGUUUUGGAUUUGCAGCUCUCAUCAUCGCAGCAUCCCAGAAACCAGAGGAACAGAGGCAAGUAGAGGAGCAGGGUCAGGAUUAGGGAUGGGAAACUGAGACAUCCAAGUUCUGCUUCUGGCUUUACUACACACGCUUAGUUUCCCUACCUGUAGAAAUGCUGUUAAUUCCUUCAUGUUUUCCAUGUCAGUUUGGUUUCUGAAAGGCUGACCACUGCAUUUGGAGGUAGACUAUGCUGACCUAUAGUGCUUUUGCACAUACAGGUCGUUUUUCUUCUCCAGUGAGGCUUAUUUCCAAAGACGGGGAGUAGGGGGUUGGGGAUGGGGGGGCGGGGGUGUGCUGUUAAAGGCCACAUGUGGGGAGCUGCAGACCCUACGCCCAGCCAGACUUCCUUGCUGGAACCUGGCUCUACAUCAGACCUCACAAUUGCUCGCAGUUCUGGUUACUUCUUUUGUGCGUCUGCUCCUGCAGACUGUCCAAGGCUCUUCCAUAUUUCCUCCAAACAGAGCUAUUAUUUCACUGACCCUGGCCUGCUAUUCACUGAUGAAUUGGAUGCUGUUCAUUGCAGCUUGAAAUUUUGCUACUCUUAAUGCUUCCCAUUCAUUUUCUGCAGCAAUCGGCUUUAUACCAGCAGAUAUGCAGCUUUCAUUGAUACUUGAUGCAGCAGCAAUACCCUUAGCAAAGGCUUUUUUGUACAUAGGGCUCCAAACUUUUCAACCACGCUAUCACAGAAAGCCAUAAUGUCCCUUUUCUGCACUGCCCCCAGCCACCUGCAGCCCCUGAAAGAGCAUAUUGUUUUCCCCAGUUGAAGGAACAACAUGGGCAGUGUCUGUGUUGGUUGCAAGGGAGGGCUCUGAGUAAUCCCUUUUUGCCCUGCCCCCAUCAACCCCAACCCCCACCCCAUCCCCAGUCCUGCUUGAGGCUGAAUUUUGGCCCAUCAGCCAUUUAAAUCUAAAUGAGAGGAUAUUUGCAGGGUGGUUAUUUUGGCUGCUAGAUGAGCCUCCUGAUCUUAUGCUACCAGGUGGGGCCGACUCUCCUGUCAUGGUAAUCCUGUUGGAGCAAUUCCCAGGUGCUGGAGUUUUACAUGAACAGAAUAACCUAAGUGAAGAAACAGUGGAAACGUCUGUAAAUGCUUUUUGCUGAAGAAAGGUUCAGGCUCUAAUCUUCAUUGGCAACCAGAGGAAAAGUCUCUGCCCCAACAGCUAAGUGGUGGUUUAUUAUGGGUAUAUCCUUGCUGGCACUUGCCUGUCUCACCUACUGGAAAAAGGAGUUGUCACCUGCAGCUCGGCACUGUCAGGCGCCACCCAGCAGCAAGGCGGCUGCCAUUUGGCGUGGUGCGAUACCAACCCUUGCUUGUUUUCAAUAAACACAGCGCUGUUUUGAAGGGAAUGGCAAUGUUGUUUAAGAAAAAUAGGGUACUUAGAGAUGGAUUAUAUGCUGAACUAGAAAAAUGCCAGAGAUGGAAAAAAUAAUCUCUGAGCUGGCGCGCUGCGGGGUUUUCAGGUGCAGGGAGAAGUGGCUGGCGGGUUGUUAUCCCACAGACAAGGGAUACAGGGCGGUGGCCAUAGUACUUUGAACAGCAUUUUUGGUUUUUUUUUUUUUUUUUUUUUUUUUCUCCCCCACAUUGUUCCUGUCUUUUUUGUAGCUGUCUCAGAUGGGAAUGGAAAGCUGGAAUCACUUCUGCAUCUCAGGGGCAAGAGAAAGUCACCUUACCUGGGCACCUCACAUGCCCAGCCCUUGUGAAUAUUCCCCUCCUCCUUUCAAAACCUGUGCCUACGUUUUUGCCCUGCUCUGUUUCAAAGCAACUGCUGACACGAGCAGGCAGGAGCCCGCUGCUCCUGUGGUGAGAGGGGCUUGGGGUGAGGGGCUACAGGGCAGCGGGGGUCCCCGCAGCAUCGCCCUGCGGGCAGUGGGGCGGCCGUCUCUGGGCUCCCAGGCACGGCUCCUGCUAAAGCCUUGCAAAAAAACCUGUCACAGGAACAGCUCUCCGGGAUUCCCCUUUCUUGCUAUUCCUCUCAGGGCUGAGCCACUUGUUUAUCUUGUGGGAGAAGUCCACAGCCACAGUUAGCUUUGCAUAUUUGAUCCUGUCUGAGGUCAUUUCUUUUCCUAUCUGCAAAAUUUCUAUUGCAAGUGCCUAUAAUGGUUCAAUUGUGGUAAUGCUUACAAUUGCUCAAUGAACAUAUUACCUCCAUUGUCCCCUUAAUAUCAAAUACAAAUGCUGUGGCAGUCACCUACUGUUUGUGGGCUUAGUGACAGAGGCUGCCUGGUGCUACCUGCUACCAUGGUGGCACUUCAGAGCCAAAGCCCUGGGAGCCGGGCAUGGUGCUACCCCCUUCUGCUGCCACACAGCACACCAGAGGCAGGGUUGACACCAAAGACCACCAGGACGUCUCCUCAGAUGACUGCAAUCAGUUUUGGAGCACAACCCACAGCAGCAAAUUCUGAUUUUUUAAAGGGCAUAACACCAAAUAUCUUCAGUUCCUCCUGAGCAACCUCAGGGUUGUGGGUGUGCAGCACUCCUGAAAUUCAGGCUGUACUUGAAUGGGAAAAGGCAGACAGACGUAUGACAGGAGUGAUCAGAGAUGUGCAAUGCUAUCUAUAUGAGAUGAGACUUAAUCAACUUCAACCUAGAAAAGAGAGGACUCUGGGCUAUGGCACGAGGUCCACAACGUGACGAAUAGCAGGAGGAAGGGCAGCAGUGGCUCAUAAGACAAGAGCCGAGGGAUGUCAAAUGAAAUCAUCAGGCAGAUAUUUUUUGAGGCACAGAGGAGGAAGUCUUCUUUUUUCACACAGCCAUAAUUAGUUAGUGGAACUCAUUGCCAUGGGAUGCUUCAGGUGCUGAAACUAUACGUUGGUUUAAGAAGCAAUUAGGCAAAUUAAUGGGACAGCAGUCUAUGGAGGGCUGUUACAGCUGCUGCUGCAGAUGCAGCCUGUGGCACAGGAAGUCCCUGGGCCGCCGAGCGCUGGGUUUUGGAGGGCUGCACCAGGCUCCCCCCAGUUUUCCUCCUAUAACCACCAUGGGCCAGAGAGGCGAGAUGGCUGUAGUGUGCCUUCUUUUCCCAGGGCUCACCGUGCCAGACUGGAAAUACUCCUCUGUAAAGAUUUUUCAUCAGAUGUAAAAAAUUCAAGUGACUUCUGAAUAUCAUAGUGAGGUACUGGGGGAAGGAAAGCUUGGCAGCUCUGACUUCUCUGAGGUGCGUUACUGUGGAAGCAUAAGCUGGCUCCAUUUGGGGAACUGUGGUUUUAUGCCUUCUCUUUCUCCCUGACUUCAUGCUGGCAGUGGUGCUGCCUGACCAAGGGUGAGCCAAGCCACCAAAAAAGCCUGUGGUGUUGGGGCCGACAUGGGGUGUGUGAGGUUGUGGGGGCAGCAGGACGGAGAAGGGAGACAUGGUCACAUUAGCUGCUCUAGCUGCACCCUCAGCCUCACAUCCAUAUGCCUGGACACCUUGUCCGUCACCACAGUGCAAUCUGUUAAACUGUGGGAUGUGAAAGUACCACUAUACGCAGGUGUAACAUCAAGAAAUUGCAAGGAAAUAGCCCCCACAUACAACCAGAUGGAAAGAGAGAGGGGGGUAGUCUGCAGGCUGUGCUUAAAGCUCAGUGCAUUUACAUUUUAAAUGCUUCAGUACUCAGUCAGUUUAGAUACCUUAAUCUUUGAGAAUUAGAUAGCUUAAUCAGACAGAAAUAGAAGCUGCACAAAGAAGGCUCUGUAAAACCCCAGGGCUCUGGGUACGGGAGCCCCAAGCUUGACUUCAUUUUUGUUUAAUGCAGCAGUUUGCUAGGCACUUUUUAGGCAAGCAUAAAGACAAAGUGCCGGAAAGAGAUUUCAUGUGCGGAGAUAUGUAAAACAAGACCUGUGAUUUGUUUAUUAUAUUAAAGAACAGAGCCAGAGCUUUAGGAUAAAAGGGUAUACAAUAAAUGGCAUGGGAACCUAAACGGCAGCAUUUUUUGCCUGGCAAAAAGGGGUAGGACGUGGAUUAUAUGAGGUCACGUCUUCUGCACCUGCCCGGGUUAAAGCUAUACUAACAUUGCCCUUAGGUCCACCCUGCCCAAAGGUCUCUUGGUGCUUUGUGAGGAGUCACAGUUUUGAGGUGGGCUUUUGUAUGCAGCCAUCCAGCCCCACCAUACCGCAUGUAGGACAUGGGAAGCCUGAUGGGGUGUUUGCAGCGCGCAUCCCUCAGAGGCUAUAGCCUUGGGGUUGUAAGGGCACUGACUGUCCUGAUGAGGGAACAGUCACUGGAUGUGAUCUACAGAGAAUAAAUCCAGAGUGACUCCAAGGCUGUUUAUUGCAACCCAAAAAUUAUCUUUGGAAAUUGGUCUUGAAAAAUAACAUAGAUGACAGCAUUGCUUGCCUGUGACACAGCAUUCCUGGGCCUCCAUGAAAAUUCAUGAGCCAUGCUAUAUAAUCUGGCCUCUUACUCCUGCUUAUCCUAUCUCAAUGACUUGGAAAAUGUGUAUUCACCCAGGAAAAAUGUACUCGCCCCAAGGUGUGCAAGCGUGGGGUGGUUUUGCAGUGCUCUGGAAGGGCACAGCUGCUCUGUGCAGGGGUGGGCAGCACUUGCCAUGCAGGGAAACCCUGCGUGGGCUGUAGGGAGGCCGUGCUCAGCCUCUCCACUGUUGGACAACAGGCACUUUGCAGAACUUAGAGAAGUUGUUUUAAGGAAAUGCUGGAAGGAUCUGCAAGGCGCAGGGACAUCGCCUAUGCCCUUCAUUGAUCUCUUGGGUUUUUUUUGGUUUAAACUCUCCAUCCAGUUCUUCCUUUGUUAUUUCUUUCCUCUGUUUAUUUUCAUUUUUCUCUCUUUUUCCUUUAGUGAUGAUUAAGAAACACUCAUUUCAGGCAGUCUCUUCCCCCUUGUCCUUCCUCACUUGCUCCAAGUGCACUCAGCUAGGCUCCCUUUCCUUCCCCUUUGCCUGUUUUCUGCUUUGAGGGCAGUCCUGGGGUUUGUCUGUGAACAAGUCAGCCCCAGGCAAGUGAUGGGAGCUCCUUGGGAUGCAGCAUCACAUCAUCAGCCCCCCUGUCCUGUCCCUUAAGCUGAAGCUGUGCUUUAAGGCCUGAAGUGAAGAGAAAAUCUCUGCAGUUUCCCUUCCCCAGCCAGAUAACACAAGGCAGUGAGGAGGGAGAGGCUCAUCUAUUCAGGUCAUUAAGAUGUGGGUAGAAAUCACCCUGUACUAAAAAUCUCCUUUGAAAUCCUAUAUGUAUAUAAUUCAUCUUGUGCUCCUGCCUGAAACUGGUAUUGCAAUUCUCUUUCUAUGCAUCUGCUUUUGUAUUCAGUACUUUGAGGCAGUUCACACGGUGGCUUUAACUUGUGUUCCCAUUGUAACUGCCUCCCAGCUGUGUGGGGCUGGGCCCCCUCCACCCAUUUUUGACAGGGGCAGACUUUUGGAGAGCCCUCUGGCAGGUCCCAGCAGGCAGGCAGGUGCUGUGGGGCAGGAGGUGGGGCAAUACUGCCAUGCUGCUUGCUUCCCUUUCCGCCAGCCUUCCCUGCCCUUGGAGGGGUCUGUGCCACCCUUGCUGGGCAAAGAGGGGCUGCAAAGGGGAUGACAGUCUACAGCAGGCUGUGAAAGACACCGAGAGCUGGCUGUGAUAGCUUUCAAAGCUAACUGGCUCUAUCUGUACAAGGGUUUGUUUGGUUUUCUUUACAGGUGAUUUUGAAGGACCAUAUUGUUCCCAGAACAAGCUUUCCAGGCUGAUCGGAUUCCCAUUAGCCAUGACCUUCCCCACAGCCCGUUGUUGGCUCUUCUGGCCUGUUCCACAUUGGGGUGGAAAUUGUUUGUGGCAGGGUGUGGGACUUCCUGCACCAGCGUAUUGCUCCACAGCACCUACCACAGCCCCACUUCCAUCUUGAUUUGGCGUCUUUGGAGGUGACCUCAACAAGACACCUCAGAAAAGGCAAGGCAGGCCACUUGUAGGCAUGAGCAUUUCUGCUGUCGAAAGGCACCAGCUUUAUUUUGUCAAAACAAAUACGGCUUUUGCAUGCAAAGGCAGGACAGCAAGAGGCUUCCCUGACAGUUGUGCUCUCAUUGUUACCCAGCAAAAGGGUCCUAGGAAAAAGACACUACCAUGCUGCCUGCUGGGCAUUUCACAGCACUCUAAUCGGCUUUAAUUUUAGCAGCUUGGCGUAACUCUGUGUGUGUGUCUUUCAUGUCUCCCUUUGCAGUCUGGCUGGAGCUUGUGACCUGGAGCCCAAGCACAAGGCAGAUGAACAGGGACAAAAGACAGGAAGAUUUGUGAUAAUUGAACACUUUCUCCAACACUCCAACACUUAGAGCAACUGCAUUGAUCUAAGGUCAAAGCUGAAGCUUUUAUGGCAAACAAUAAAUAAUAGAUGCUGGACUUAAAAACAAUCUCUUGUCUGUCCUCUCAGGACAGACAACUCCUUUGUAAGUGCAGAAACCAGUCCUGGGGGUUACAAAGCAGAGAAGAAGAGGAGGAAGAGAGGAAACAACGGCACCACCAUGUUUAGUGCUGAAUCUGUGGUGAAAAGUGUCAAAUGGGCAUAUACACACAGAGAAAAGACACCUCACAUCUUUACUGGCUAGAUGUUAAAAUCACUGUUAGAGCUGGUUGAAAAAUUGACUUUGGUGUUUAGCAGCCAUAGAGGAAACUCAAGACACAAAAUAUUGUUUCUGGCAGACCCCAAAAGUAAGGCAACACUCUGUCUCCAGUUUGUUCAGCUGUCCUCAGUGUCACCUGUAAGCUGAGCAGCAGAGCAAAAACAACCCUUUGCCAUUCAUCUAGGUGACCCUUCUCAUGUUUGAGCAGUUUUUAGCCAGGUUUUUCUCUCCCCCAGGCAGAGAGAAGUGCUUUUCCCUGCUGAGCCCUGGGAUCCAACAGCUCUAUCCUGGCACUGGCAGCAUGGCUGGGCUCACAGUUUUGGCAAGUGGCUACCAUGAGGCAGAGGCGGUUUUUACAGCUCCCUAUCCAGCUGCCUAUGCUGGGAGGCAGGGAGCAGUGUGCAGGCAGUGCUUGUAUGGUCACUGUGCCCCGGUUAUCCCCACUAGUGCAUGGACUCAAGAGAUGUCACCUGAUUUCAGGCAUUAGUUUGGACCAGUGUAAACCUGUCAGAGGGCAAGGUAUUUAUUAGUCUGUUCCAUCAACAUCAGUCAGUGGGCAAAUCCAGCCUGUCCUUUAGCAGAAAGAGUGGUUUGCCCAGUUCCCUAGCUAACUGGAAGGUGCUGCAAACUAUGGCCACAUGAUGGAGCUUUGGUGGUGUUGGAAGUCCUCCCCCUUCUGAAAGAGCCUCUUCCUCCUGCUCCCAGUGCAAACCACUGCCUUUCAGUGGAAAAAGUACCUUUCAUUGAGCUUACUGUAGUGGGGGACAUGCUCUGUACUCAGCUGUGCUGUGUUAGUGAGCAUCUCUGGGUGGUAACAGAGACACCAGCUCCCCUUGCGCCUCUCCCUGUAUGCUGCGACUCACCAGCUCUCCUCUCAUUCACCAACAGGGGUAAAAGACUAAACCCUUGAACACCAAAACUGAUUUAUGCUUGCUUCUUGCUUUUUUAUUCUAAGUCAAAGGUGUUGCAGCUAACAGGCAGGAUUGCCUUUUAAAUGAAAGGUGAUCUGAAUCUGGCUGUCAGAAAUCUCCCAAUUGCUCCCUGCCAUGUUCCUAGCACAGAUGCCAACACCCAACACCAGCACACCCCCCCCCCCCCCCUUUCCAUUUUUAUCUCUUUCUUCCCCUUCUUCUUCCAUUUCUUGCACUGAUCUGCUUGGCUGCACCACACUGUAUGAACUUGUAGUAGGAUUAAUGUGAACUGAAGCCUGAGGCUAUAUUCAGCUCAGAUUCAUGUCAAAAGGCAUGGGUCCAUGGUGCUGGAAAGCAGGCAGGCUGGCAGCAGCUGAAAGUGCUCAUUGUCACUGCUGCAGCACACCUGUGCAGGAGAUAAUGUCAAGGCAUGGGGAUCUGGGAGCUGUGGAUCCCCUGGACAGGACGCUCACAUGGCUCUUCCUGUGGGUCAGUGCCAUGUUGCCACCAGCCCCUUUUGCUGCUGAGGGUGAGGGAGGAUCUUCUUCAUAUGCACCAUGAACCAAGAUCAAACUGAGCUUUUGGGCAGUGGGGCUCUGUGUGCUGUGCUGGCUGCUCUGAGCUUCCGUAAAAUUGGGGAGCAGAUGAGCUGGAGAGGUUCCUCAGGAGUGUGAGGACAAUGUGUGUUUCUUGCAGAGCAGAGGCAAAGCUUGCAAACCCCCUGGGGCCAUGUCUGUGCUCAGGACAGGCUUCAGCAUGCUUAGCCCUGAGAUCUGCACACUCUCGCAGUCACCUGGUCUGCUGGCUGCCCGGCCAGGGUGUGUGGCACUGGGUUUCACCCAUGUCCAACUCACCUGGUGCUGCAGAUGUGACGGGCUGGGCUAGCACGAGGGUACCUGAGUUUUCCCUUUCCAAAGGGUGCCCUGGGGAAGCUGGAAGACCUGACAGGAGGCUGGUGUGCGAGCACACUGGGUGGCUGACAAGUCUUGGCAGGUCUGGAGGGAAGCCUCCUUGGUGGCACAGGCUCGGUGCAAUGCAGGACCUGCAAAAUGGAGCACUUCUGCACGUUUUAGAGGAUGGCCAAGGAGGCUUCAACAUGACAGUGCCACAUCAGGGUUUCCAUUUGCCUAGGUCAAGUAGCACAGCUGAAGUAAAAGGCUGAAUUACUCUUGGCUGAGGAUGCCAUCUAAGUAUGCCUAAAGCCCAACAGGGUAGAAAACAAGAAUUUCAUUUUCCAGCUUCCCAACAUCAAGAUUCAACUACAGUAGAUACUGAAUUGCUUCCUGAAGACAAAGUUAAUUAUAAAAUUAGAUUAGAAAUCAUUAAAAAACUAUUUAUGUUCAUUACAGUGGGGUAAUAUAUGGCUAGACUCUUGAAAGUUAUCAAUCUCCUCAAAGUGGUUUCUUCACAAGGCACAAAAGGCCUGGUUUUUCUCAGGCUAUAAUCCUACAGCUUCAGUCCUGUGUGCUCCUUGAAGCCCUCUGUAAGGCAUCGGAUGGUCAUGUCAGACUUCAAUGCCUUCAUGUAACAAGGCAUGCUCAUGCUGCAGUUUAGUAAUAAUGCAACUACCAAAUGUCACCUGUCACAGGCAGCAAAGCAAUGUGACAUGGGUGACUCACCCCACAUUCCUGGGAACACCUUGGCCACCGACACACUUUUGUGAGUGUACCACACCCUUUCCUGCAGGCUUUAACACACCUUGACUGAAAAACAUCUUAGUAUUGUUGGCUUGAGAAGAGUGGUCCUCUGACAGGUUAGCCACUUGGCUACCAUUUCAGAAACUGACUCCUGUACAGCCUGCUUUGCAUAAUGUACCGUUAAGACAUCUUAAUGGUGUCUGCCUGCAGACUUUUGCUACUUGAAGAGCCAGGAUGCGGGAAACAGUAAUUUUAUAAUAAUCCAAAACUGAGGUUACCACAAUAUGACAUGCACAUGGAAUAAAGAUGAUAUACUGUAUUUCUGUAGAUACAUUUACUUGAUUAGGUAAAUAAAAAUAGCCUUAUUUUAGAUAAUACAUUUAUGCUUGAACAGAAACUGUGUAUUUGCAGAUUCAUCCAAUGAUUCUUUUUUCUCACAUGAACAUGUAAUUUGUAUAAGUGCAUUGCAAAGUUGAAGAUCUGAUUCUGUUUUCACACUAGUUUCUCCAAAAUUUAUAUUGGACCCUCUGUAGUGCAGAUCUAACUAAUCCCUAUUCCCAUUUCAACACGUAACCUAAAUAAUAUUAAAUGUUACAAGUUGUGAUUGUCUUUGCAUUUAGCUCCCAGCUCCCUGCACUCCAUGAUAUUUGUCAACAGAUAUAAUUCAAAUUUUGCCUGACAAUCUGCAUCCUAAAGAAUUUUUGGAUGUGCUAUUAGCUGAUUUGACAAUAACUUUAUUUUUACUUUCUUCUCCUUUUGUUUCCAUACUCAUUUAUCUCCUCUGUUUAUUACAUCUUUAAGAAGGUAUAAGCAGAUUUCCUGCCACCUUACUUGUUUAGAUAUGGAAGAGUUUAUAGGUAAACUAGUUUACAAAAUAAGUGAGACAGUUUUAAUCAGCCUUUAUGAUGGGGUAAUCCUGUCCACUGUGCAGAGCUGAGCACAUUUAUCUUUGCCUGCCUCUGAAGAGAUGGAGACAAAUCACUGUCAACACUGUGUGCAAACAAGACCUGGCAAUGUCGUUUCUCUCAGGUGGAGCAUCCCGCGGCUGCCUGUUUCCACAGCACCAGUUUUCAGCCUCUUUCCACCACUACCCAUGCAAUAUGAGAGUGAUAUCAUUUUACUACCAGAGCUGCCUGCAUUUUGAUUGUUUCCACGAGAUUUCUGCUCUAUCUGGACCAUGAGAUGUUAGCUGGGCAGAGUCAUCUCCUUUCCCAAUGGCAUACAGACUGGUUGCUUCACUGGAGUACAAACAAUUAAUUAGCUCAUUGCGAGAGAAAUGUUCUUUCAGCUGAUUGAUGAUGCUCAAACCUCAGUACACAGCUCUUCACAAAGACUAUAGUCCCACUUAACUAUUGUGGAUGAAAGCCCAACUCCACUGAGGCCUGUAGCAAAUACCCUAUUGACUUAACUGAAACCAAGAUUUUUGCCCUGAAUUUAUAAAGUGGUAAAGCACUACUAAACCGCACAUGCUAUAAUGCACACCCAACAUACCAGUGGUUUGUUUUCAGGGAUUGUCAAAAAUGCUGUAGCAAGAUCAUGGGAUAUUAAACUAGUGUUUCUGUUGUUGGAUAUUCAGCAGAAACUUUGUCGAUAUGCAGAGGACUGUUAUUAAACACUCCAUUCCCAAAUCUGUUCUUCACGUCAAAUAUACAGUAUACAUUUUUACAUGUCACUUUGAGUUUUAAAUAUAUUUUCCUAUUUGCAGUGCUUUGGAAUUUGUUUUUUAUGGCAUGAGAUGGAUCUGCAAUUGUCUAGAAUUGUCAGUAUUGUGUUUCAGUAUGGUUUCAAAAUAUCACAGUUUCGUGUAUGAGCACAGUGUGAGGUAACCAACCUCUGAAGAUCUGUUAUGAGCUUCUCCAAUGUCUUUCUCACUUGUUUCAGAAGAACUUUGUCUUUGUCAUAGAAGUGGAAGAGUCCUUGGUAUUAAGACUUCCAGUAAGGACAGUUAACUGUAAUCCUGUAUGACACCUUGUCCAUAAAAACUGAAAUAAUUUUGUAUAGAUCACUUACCUUUCAGAAAAUGGUACUGUUCAUCGCUUCUGAAUUGAUCUAGAUAUGAACUACUCAUGGAAAAUCAGAGUCUCUAAUGUCAACUCCAUUCCAUACUGGUUUGCCCAUGACUUAAGCACCAUUGUAGUCAUACAGACUGUAAGUGCCAGAGGAGACAUAGAGCUGUAGUAGCGGAGCUUCUUCCAGACAGUUUCAUAUGUCAUAGUAAAUAGAUGUAAAUGCACUGUGGCUGCCACAUUUAACAGAAUCACAGAAUGUUAGGGAUUGGAAGGGACCUCGAAAGAUCAUCUAGUCCAAUCCCCCUCCUGGAGCAGGAAUGCCUAGGUGAGGUCGCACAGGAAUGCGUCCAGGUGGGUUUUGAGUGUCUCCAGAGUAGGAGAUUCUACAACCUCCCUGGGCAGCCUGUUCCAGUGCUCUGUCCCCCUCACUGUGAAGAAGUUUCUUCUCAAAUUUAAGUGGAACCUCUUGUGUUCCAGUUUGUACCCGCUGCCCCUUGUCUUAUCAUUGAUUGUCACUGAGAAGAGCUUGGCUCCAUCCUUGUGACAUUCACCCUUUACAUAUUUAUAAACAUUAGUGAGGUCACCCCUCAGUCUCAUCCAAGCUAGAGAGACCCAGCUGCCUCAGCCUUUUCUCAUACGGGAGAUGCUCCACUCCCUUAAUUGUCUUUGUUGCCCUGUGCUGGACUCUCUCCAGCAGUUCCCUGUCCUUCUUGAACUGAGGGGCCCAGAACUGGACACAAUGUUCCAGGUGCAGUCUCACCAGGGCAGAGUAGAGCAGAAGGAGAACCUCUCUCAACCUACCAACCAUCCCCCCUUGUAAUACACCCCAGGAUGCCAUUGGCCUUCCUGGCCACAAGGGCACAGUGCUGGCUCAUGGUCAUCCUGUUGUCCACCAGGACCCCCAGGUCCCUUCGCCCUACACUGCUCUCUAACAGGUCGUUCCCCAACUUAUACUGGAACCUGGGGUUGUUCCUACCCAGAUGCAAGACUCUACACUUGCCCUUGUUGUAUUUCAUUAAAUUUUUCCCCGCCCAACUCUCCAGCCUGUCCAGGUCCCGCUGGAUGGCAGCACAGCCUUCUGACAUGUCAGCUACUCUUCCCAGCUUGGUGUCAUCAGCAAACUUGCUGACACUGCACUCUAGUUGAUGAAUAUAUUGAAUAGUACUGGUCCCAGUACUAACCCCUGAGGCACUCCACUAGAUACAGGCCUCCAACUAGACUCUGCCUCAUUAACCACAACUCUCUGGCUUCUUUCCUUCAGCCAGUUCACAGUUCACCUCACUACCCCAUCAUCCAGUCCAUACUUCCUCAAUUUAGCAGCAAGGAUGCUGUGGGAGACUGUCUAUACUUUUUGUUGUUGUUGUUGGAUAUACUGUGACUCUGUGAAAUUAUGGGCCACCUUGUGGAUAUGUUCGAACCAAGUUACUUUUUAUAAAGGACUCUGCUCACAGACUACACUGUUCGUCUUGUGUGUCCAUAUUUAACUGGACUUUCAGGUUUCAUUCACUGAAUUAAAUAUUACUUACUGCAGUGACAAUACAGAAAGGAGUUUCUCUAAAGGUGUAGUUCUCCUUACAGUCAAAAGAUGGUAGUACAAUUUCUAUUCCAAGCAGUCCAGCAACACAGAGCAGUAGCUAUACAUCCAUUGUUUGCAUUUAUAGGAAGGGAUACUGCAACAAAGAAAGUGUGGAAAUCUGUAGAUGAGAUCACAACAACCACUUGUUUGUCAGCAGUGGUGAUGAGCGUGAUAUUCUCUGAUAGUAAUUCUGAAUGUGGCCAUGAUGGCCAGGAUUAAUUUAUUCUAGUACAGCUAUUGAGCCAGCUGGUGUCAGGAUGGACAUGUGUAGGGAAGGACUUAAUGACAGGCUCAGGGUGUUGAGAGAGCAUGAAAUGAAAAUGUCUUUCUUGUGAUCUAUGGUGUUUUCAGUAAAGUCUCUAAAACCGACAGUUGAUGUAAUUAAAUCAGUGAGUUUAUUUAGGCCUAACUAUUGAUUAGUGUAAUGUUAAUCUUGAAGUACUUAUAGUGAGAUGUGAAUAGUUCAUAGCAAGAAAAUGGUUCUUCUGUGGAAAACAGUACUAGGGUUUCCUUAAUUUAAAAAGGAGAGAAGUCACCAUGCAUUAACUAGCCAAGCAGAGAUUUAAGACAGGCUGUUCCCUGAGAAGUGUGGGCUCUUCCCAUCACAUUUUAUUUUCUAGGAAUACAAACCAAAUAAGAUGCUGAUGUUAAAGAAAAGGAACUAUUUAUCUGCUUUUUUCUCUAGUCAGCAAUGGGAUUUCAAUCUCAUUUUGCCUGUAAUGAAUCCUGUUAGAACAGUUGCUUGCUUGGGCAUACUGCUGAUUGCAGCAGAACUUGGCAAACUUAUAUUACACAAGGGGUACAUGGUGUUCUUCAGCACAGUAGAAUCAUUUAGGUUUUUAUAUUACUAGCACAGAAAUAUAUGCACAUAUAAUAAUACUAUGUCUAAGGUAAGAAAGCAGGAAUAUGGCUGCACGCAGUGUUUGCAAAGGUUGUGACAGGACAUUUGUGUCCAGGAGUAAUAUAGUGAAUACCUCUGUACACACUGAGAUGCUACUGUGAAUCUGCUUAGAAGUAGGGUAAUAACUUGAGAUUCUAUAACACAAGUGUUCCACUUUUAGAUCUAUGAUGUCUACUUCAAGAAUUCCAGUUCUACGCUGCGGUGCCUGUAAAAAUUGUGCUUAGUCCUAACAGGUUAAGCCUAGGCACCAGAAUUAGGAAGCCUAUGGAGUCAAUGAAGAGCCUUCAGGCUCAGCAUAGAAGUAGCCAAAAGAAAACAGUGAUCACAGCACUUUGUCCUCAUUUUCUUGCUUUCAAUAACCAAGAUGCUGUUGAAAGUCACAUGGUAUCAUAUUUUCCUACCUAGAGUUCCCUUAUGGAUGUCAUCUAUUGCAGCAGAGCUGUAUUCAGAGAAGGCAAAACAAGGAGCGGUAUUUUUCAAUUCUUUAGCUUCAGACUGAAGGGCACAAUGAGAUGUAUUGCCAAAAAAAGCUGUGCGAGUCAAUGCAGAAGCCUGUUUCUAGGGUGAAUAUGAGUGCAUUAUACUGCAAAACCAAGGGUUUGUUUUCUGUUCCCUAAUUUCAGGCUCAGCCUGGGAGCAGAAGGAAUUUUGCAACUCCUAGAGUCAAAAUAUUAGUUUCAGGCACUGGGAUUGUCUGAGCUCUGUCUAAAUAAAUCUCUGUGUUAUCUAGGGAAAAUGAUGGUAGGAGCAGACUCACACCUUUGAUUCCUUCCCGCCAAAUCAGAGCCCUCUUGCUUCUAGAGAUCGAGGAACUACCUGUGCAUGGAAAAGGACUUCAGCAGAAUCUGGAAGAGAGAAAAGAUAAUGCUAACAUACAUCAUUGCAGCUCUUUCCUCUCUUCUCAUUUGAAUUCAUAGCAAUUUCUGCAGUGUUUUAGUUCUUUGUGGGAAUUCACUUUUUCUUGCAUGCCAUAGUGUGUGGUUCCUAAAUUACUAGUAAUCCACUCAAAUAGCUGAUUUGGACUGAAUGCUGGAAAAGAUUGCUAACAAGUGUUUUGAAUAAAUACUUUCAUAAUUUCCAUUCCACUUGGAACCCCUACAUACCAGAAAGUUACUCAAUUCAUUCAAAAUUGGAGGUAAAACCCUAAAGAAUUCUAACUAGCUGAAUGUGUUAAUCACAUUGGAAUAAAUUCUACUGGUGGAUAAUUGUUUUUUGUGUGUUUUGACUUGUUUUCUUAUAUUUAACAAGCACAAAGUUGUUCCAAGUAAGUAGUGCUGUUUGUGGAAAGUUCCCGCUGGAUGUCCCUGGAGUUUGGAAACAUCUAUUUCAGUUCAGAAUUUCUAGGGCAUAAAUGGUGUCAUUGUGCUGACUUGAUGAAGCAGGAAAGCUGAAGGCAAUUAUUUCUUCUUGUUUUUUGAGCUCCCUGGGCUAAAAGAGCUAAAUGGAGAAGUUGUGAGUGCUGGUCAUGGUGAUGGUGUUGAGGUGCUAAAAUGCAGGAGGAAUAGGGAAGGUGGACAAGGCAAAGACCAAACUGUGACAGCAGCUGCUCAUUUGUUUUCCAGAUAAAACUAUGUUUGACUUCCCUUUUACAGAUAUGUCUUCUCAUACGUACACCUCUGUUCCACCUGUAAUAACUGUAAGCAAACCAAUUUUAUUUAAUAAAGGCAGGGUAGACCCCUGCAAACAGGAGACUGCACAUACUGUGUCCAGAUGUGGUUGGAAUCACUGAUGACUGAUAAAGGCAGAAUCUGCAGCAUUGAAAAAAGGUCUUCCAUGUGACUCUAAAUCCACAAGACAGCUAAGAAGCUGUGCUAUGCCUCUUGGAUGCAGUGCAUUCUGGGUAUGAGAUAAACUUAGCACUUUUUUUUUUACCUCUUCCAUACUUCUUAUGUCAAUAAAUACAAUCCAGACUGUAGCAGAGAAAUACAAAAACUUGGAUAAUUUUCUGCCUGAAUGAGAAAUCCCCUGUUCUAUGGAAGCUUGCAGAAUUGUUUACCACUUUUCAAUUAUAAUGUUAAUGGUUAUGUAUCCAAAUUUCCUGACUUUCUGGAUAAAGUAGUCAGGCACAGAUGAGGCUUUCACCUCUCACUUCUAUGCUGCUAGAACUCUAAAAUUUCAGAUGGUCUAUGACAAAUUUUACUCUUCUGUUUGUCACUAUCGUAAUGCAUUCUUCUGUGCUGUAGCUACACAGACCUGGUGCAGCUUCCUUCUACUCUAUCCAUUCUGCACCUACAGAUCAGAUCAAGAUUGAUGGCUAACAUUCUUGUUUUGAUGUUGUGGGGCUUUCUUUUUCUUUUUAUUUCAGUGUAAAUGUACUGGAUUUCAUAUGCAUUUUAUUUUGAUAAAAUGGGUAUAGAAAGAAUCAAGUAACACAAUGUUAAGUGGUGAAUUUUCAGGUAGGAUCAGUUUAUUUGGUCUGGUGAUGUAAGAGAAAAUCUGGAAGAAUUUGGAACAUUUUUGUGUUGAAAAGGGAAAUAUUAUCAUGCAGUCUUUGUGAUUUGAAACUUAGAGAUUCAUUACCCUGUAGAGCAAGGAAAUUCUUCAGGUUACAAGCAGAUAGUAGAACUAGGAGGCCGUUUUAGGUCCAAGACAACUUUGCCACCAGCACAGACAAUUCAGACUUAUUGACAUUCUGACAUAAUAAUAAAUAGGGGACAAUUCUCAAGUAUUUGUUGAAAAAAAAACUUAAAUGAUGAGAGCUAUGGACUUUACAUAGGAAAAAAGGGAAGGCAUUCUGACUGGGAUGGACUGUUGAGUUACUACAUUGGCCUUUAACAGGUCCCUUUGAUCUUUCUACAUCACUCAGCCCACUUAGGAAUAAAUAGAGUUGUAUUUAGCUAUUCACAGGGUUUAUUUGAGGUGAAGUACCUAGUUUAGAGAUGGUGCUUUGCAUUUUACAUUGUCAUAACUGGUAAUUUUACAGACCAGUCUAUGUUCCACUUUCCAGGCAGUUGAAUAUCAUCUCUGCUUCUCACCCUAGGGAAUGCCUAGUUCAUUGGCCAUGUCAUGCAAUCAUAUCACAAAAACCUUGGGGACUGUCAGUGUUUAAUCUGCCCUUAAUGAAGCCUGCCAGAUCAAUUUACUCUAUAUGUCACUGUUUUCUAGCCUGGCUGCCAGAGCCUUGGCGAUGGUUUCUCCUUCUAAAACAAAGAAAGAAAUAUGCAAGCCUGUAGUUGGGAGCAUGAACUGAAGCUGAAAUCCAUGAGAAACCUAGGCAGAAAUCCAUCUUUGAUAUGUUUCCUGCAUGUUCUAGGCUAGAUGAAAUCAGAUUAUUUUGAUCCCCAUAAUGACUAUUUCCUUGGCUGAACUCAGGCAAGAUUCAUGCAGGGACUGAGGCCAAAUGUAGGGCCUGCCUGCUCUCUGGGGUGAGCUAGAGUUCAAGUACCCUUGAUCUGGAAGAGUCACAGUGGAGUGCAGCCUUGUGCACAGGACUGUGUCUUAUUAGUGACCACGCACAGAGACAGAUUGUGUGUUUCUGCACUGGAUUCUCCAGCGUUUCUGGUUUGAGUCAGUAUGCAGAUCCUUGCCAGCCCAGGUGGCCCUUCUCCCACAUUGUAGACAUGGCCUUAAGUACCUAAUGGCCACCUUAAACACUUCAGGCAGAAUUGUAGGUCUUUAAAACCUGCCAAAUAACCCAGGUGUCUGGAGAUGCUAAACAGCAGCAAGGGCUGAGCAGCUGGCCAUCCCCCCAUACCUGGACAUGCCAGCACCAUCACAGAAGAUAGCCUGUGCCUGUCCUCUCUGAAGUGAUUGUGUGUGGCAGAGCUCAGAAAGCACCUGUUGAACCCCAGCCAAAUAGCUUGUGCCAUCAGGGACACAGAAACCUGAUUCUACUCCUAAUAAACAUCCAAUUACUGAAGCAGAGGUUGGACUUUCAAGGUUAGUACCUUACACAACCACCUGACUACUAGGCUGCACAAUGGUCUUUGUUCUCUUUCUCACUCCCUUUGUUAUUUAGUAAUAUCAUGGCAGCAGCUUCAGGAGGAUUUCUACCUUAGAGUAACUUAAAAAAACAUAAUCAAAUAAGGGAAUAUUGGCUAAGCUUUCAUCUGGCUUCUAGUAGAUUUUAGCCCAAAUCUGUCAUCUCUUGAGUACAGUAAUUGCCUCUCAUCUCUUCUCCAGUCAUCUUUUGUGAGAAAGGGAAGUUAACUCAAGAGAAUGGGUAUGUAUGAAUCCCAGUUGGAGAUGUGCAUUUUCCUGCAGCCCAGAUGAGGACACCAAUUUCAUGGAGAAAGUUUAAAAUCUCUCAGCAUUUGGCAGUAGCUAAAUUGGGCAGCUCUGUGCUAACUUGCUGGCUUUUGUGGGUGUCGUUCCUGUGGAUUGCUUAAGCACAGAACUCUUGGCCUGGGGAUCUCCAGACUGCAAGGCACCCUGUGGUUAGGAACUGGCAUCCCUGCCUGUGCCUCUGUGUGAAUCUGUCUCUCCCUUUAUUUACUGCUAAGAUGUUUUGCCUCAUUCCAAUCAUAUCAGUCCAAGUAGACAGAAAAGAGAACUUUAUAGCAGAACCAUGGGAGAUUGCAGCAUAAAAAGUAGUAUAAAUCUAAUGAGCAAUCAGUACCCUAAAGUGUACAUAGCUUGUCUAUGUAAAAGCCUAGCAUGGAGUUAAGUGAAGUGGUGUGUUGACUAGCAAUUUCUUUUGGAAUAAGUAAUGUAAUAUUGUACAAAGGGUUUCUAUUGAUAUUCCUCUCUAUCUCUGAGCAAAGCCAUAUGUCAUAUUGUGUUGCUAAUAUAUUUUUUCAUGGGCUUGAUGUAAUGACGUAGGAAAAGACCUGGGAAACAUAUAGUAAAUACUGCUGGAAUGGGCGGAUGCCAUUUUAAAUCACCACUGAAAGUUUGCCUUUUUCAAAUGUACGGUAGGCUGUAGGGUUGCUAUCAUGUUCAGUGAUGUGUGCCAAACAAUGUCCAGGUCAUAACAGCUCAAUUAUAUUUUUUUUCUGAAUCUAUUCACUGAGAGUCCAUUAUUGCAGAUCCUAAGCUGUCAAGAGAAGCAUGGACUCCUGGGGUGAGCAUAACAGACUUCUGGAAGGAAACUAACAGCAAGUUCACAGGCUACUACUGCAUCUCUGUGUGCCUGAGUCCUGCUGUGAAUGCAAAUCUUUCUUUUGUUCCUCUAACUGCCUUCUCAGCAGUAUCUCAACCAGGUUCCUUGCAGUGUGAUCAGAAAUCUGGGUAACGUGGGAUCCCCAGGUAGCUAGAGGCAGAGUUUAAGAUAAGAAAUCUAAGUGCUGUAGGUUAACUUACUGGAAGUACACUGGUGGUAGUGAGAUGACCAGUCUUGAGGCUGGUGCCCAGACACCCUGUCCUAUGCUCGUGGAGGUUACAAGUGCACACUAACUGGAUACACACAGCGUAUUUACACACAUGAAUGGAGAUGGAUCCAAGUGCAUGCUGCCUCCACACUGAGCUGGCUAGAUCUCACUUAGCUCAGUCCAGAGCCAUGUAACUAUCUCAGCUUUUGAUGUGCUCAAGCUGAUAAUCUACAUUGGGAUAGUUGACACAGCUAUGAAAAGUAGUUGAGCCUUCUCAUUCUAUGCCAGAUGUUUGCUUCUUUCCUUAAAAUAAGCUAUUAACUUCAUUGCUUUAUCUUGUUAUAAUAUGUAUUUCUCAAUUUCUCCAUUGUGCUGUCUUUGUGCAAGGUACUCUUUGAAGUUGAAGGUUUUACAUAGCAAAAAUGUCAGGACUACAUGAAUUCAAGUGACAGCUUAGCUCUUUCGAAUCUGCUUAAGGAAUGUUUUCAAUUCAGUGCUUUUCUUUUGAAUGUAUUGUCUUUCUGAGGGACAAUAAAUGUGUUUCACUAGA